UAAUACAGAGGGUGCAAGCGUUAAUCGGAAUUACUGGGCGUAAAGCGCGCGUAGGUGGUUUGUUAAGUUGGAUGUGAAAUCCCCGGGCUCAACCUGGGAACUGCAUUCAAAACUGACUGACUAGAGUAUGGUAGAGGGUGGUGGAAUUUCCUGUGUAGCGGUGAAAUGCGUAGAUAUAGGAAGGAACACCAGUGGCGAAGGCGACCACCUGGACUAAUACUGACACUGAGGUGCGAAAGCGUGGGGAGCAAAAAGGAUUAGAUACCCUGGUAGUCCACGCCGUAAACGAUGUCAACUAGCCGUUGGGAGCCUUGAGCUCUUAGUGGCGCAGCUAACGCAUUAAGUUGACCGCCUGGGGAGUACGGCCGCAAGGUUAAA
rnacentral:rRNA from 1 species